UCCUACGGGGGGCUGCAGUGAGGAAUUUUCCGCAAUGGGCGCAAGCCUGACGGAGCGACGCCGCGUGAAGGAUGAAGGCUUUCGGGUCGUAAACUUCUUUUGUGGGGGACAAGUUGAUGAUGGUACUCCACGAAUAAGCCCCGGCUAACUACGUGCCAGCAGCCGCGGUAAUACGUAGGGGGCGAGCGUUGUCCGGAAUUACUGGGCGUAAAGGGCGUGUAGGCGGUUGGAUAAGUCUGGUGUGAAAUGGCGAGGCUCAACCUCGUCGCUGCGCUGGAAACUGUCUGACUGGAGUUCGGCAGGGGUUACUGGAAUCCCCGGUGUAACGGUGAAAUGUGUAGAUAUCGGGGGGAACACCUGUGGCGAAGGCGGGUAACUGGGCCGAGACUGACGCUGAUACGCGAAAGCGUGGGGAGCAAACAGGAUUAGAUACCCUAGUAGUC
rnacentral:rRNA from 1 species